GAUGAACGCUGGCGGCGUGCCUAAUACAUGCAAGUCGAGCGAACGGACGAGAAGCUUGCUUCUCUGAUGUUAGCGGCGGACGGGUGAGUAACACGUGUAUAACCUACCUAUAAGACUGGGAUAACUUCGGGAAACCGGAGCUAAUACCGGAUAAUAUUUUGAACCGCAUGGUUCAAAGGUGAAAGACGGUCUUGCGGUCACUUAUAGAUGGAUCCGCGCUGCAUUAGCUAGUUGGUAAGGUAACGGCUUACCAAGGCAACGAUGCAUAGCCGACCUGAGAGGGGGAUCGCCCGCCCGGGAACUGAGACACGGUCCAGACUCCUACGGGAGGCAGCAGUAGGGAAUCGUCCGCAAUAGGCGAAAGCCUGACGGAGCAACGCCACGUGAGUGAUGAAGGUCUUCGGAUCGUAAAACUCUGUUAUUAGGGAAGAACAUAUGUGUAAGUAACUGUGCACAUCUUGACGGUACCUAAUCAGAAAGCCACGGCUAACUACGUG
rnacentral:rRNA from 1 species